rnacentral:rRNA from 1 species
UUCGGACUGCAGUCUGCAACUCGACUGCACGAAGCUGGAAUCGCUAGUAAUCGCGGAUCAGCACGCCGCGGUGAAUACGUUCCCGGGCCUUGUACACACCGCCCGUCACACCAUGGAAGUCCUGCAAUGCCCGAAGCCGGUGGCCUAACCACUUAUGUGGAAGGAGCCGUCUAAGGCAGGGCAGAUGACUGGGGUGAAGUCGUAACAAGGUAGC